UACAGGUGCUGCAUGGCUGUCGUCAGCUCGUGCUGUGAAGUGUGGUUAAGUCCCGCAACGAGCGCAACCCUAUCAUCUGUUGCCAGCAUUUAAGGUGGGGACUCAGAUGAGACUGCCGGUGACAAACCGGAGGAAGGUGGGGACGACGUCAAGUCAUCAUGGCCCUUAUGUCCUGGGCUACACACGUGCUACAAUGGCCGGUACAGAGUGAAGCGAAACCGCGAGGUGAAGCAAAACGCAGAAAGCCGGUCUCAGUACGGAUUGGAGUCUGAAACUCGACUUCAUGAAGUUGGAAUCGCUAGUAAUCGCGCAUCAGCAUGGCGCGGUGAAUACGUUCCCGGGCCUU
rnacentral:rRNA from 1 species